rnacentral:rRNA from 1 species
UGGGGAAUUUUGGACAAUGGGGGAAACCCUGAUCCAGCCAUCCCGCGUGUGCGAUGAAGGCCUUCGGGUUGUAAAGCACUUUUGGCAGGAAAGAAACGUCAUGGGUUAAUACCCCGUGAAACUGACGGUACCUGCAGAAUAAGCACCGGCUAACUACGUGCCAGCAGCCGCGGUAAUACGUAGGGUGCAAGCGUUAAUCGGAAUUACUGGGCGUAAAGCGUGCGCAGGCGGUUCGGAAAGAAAGAUGUGAAAUCCCAGGGCUCAACUUUGGAACUGCAUUUUUAACUACCGGGCUAGAGUGUGUCAGAGGGAGGUGGAAUUCCGCGUGUAGCAGUGAAAUGCGUAGAUAUGCGGAGGAACACCGAUGGCGAAGGCAGCCUCCUGGGAUAACACUGACGCUCAUGCACGAAAGCGUGGGGAGCAAACAGG